rfam:Exophiala dermatitidis NIH/TT8656 unplaced genomic scaffold supercont1.7, whole genome shotgun sequence.
GGACGCGUGGCCUAAUGGUUAAGGCGUUGGUUUUCGGCUGUCCCUUGUAAAAAGGGAUCUUGCUAUACACCAAAGAUUGGGAGUUCGAAUCUUCCCGCGUUCG